AGCGCAGGCGGGAAGACAAGUUGGAAGUGAAAACCAUGGGCUCAACCCAUGAAUUGCUUUCAAACUGUUUUCUUGAGUAGUGCAGAGGUAGAUGGAAUUCCCGGUGUAGCGGUGGAAUGCGUAGAUAUCGGGAGGAACACCAGUGGCGAAGGCGGUCUACUGGGCACCAACUGACGCUGAGGCUCGAAAGCAUGGGUAGCAAACA
rnacentral:rRNA from 1 species